rnacentral:rRNA from 1 species
CUACGGGGCGCUCCAGUGAGGAAUAUUGCACAAUGGGGGGAACCCUGAUGCAGCAACGCCGCGUGGAGGAUGACGCAUUUCGGUGUGUAAACUCCUUUUAUAUGUCAAGAAAAUGACGGUAGCAUAUGAAUAAGCACCGGCUAACUCCGUGCCAGCAGCCGCGGUAAUACGGAGGGUGCAAGCGUUACUCGGAAUCACUGGGCGUAAAGGACGCGUAGGCGGGUUGGAAAGUCAGGUGUGAAAUCCUACAGCUUAACUGUAGAACUGCACCUGAAACUUCUAAUCUAGAGUAUGGGAGGGGGAGAUGGAAUUAGUGGUGUAGGGGUAAAAUCCGUAGAUAUCACUAGGAAUACCUAAAGCGAAGGCGAUCUCCUGGAACACUACUGACGCUAAGGCGUGAAAGCGUGGGGAGCAAACAGGAUUAGAUACCCGGGUAGUC